GGGGCACCUGCGUGGCUCGGUCAACAGAUAACACAAGGGUUCAUGAGUUGAUAGUUGCGGAAACUGUAGAAUGGGUAGAUGGAAAGUCACUACUCCCUCCUCUCUCUUUUGCUUGAAAUUGUACAUAUAUAAGAAAACCUUUGUAAAAAUUAUGCAAUCAUCUGGCUUUAUGCAUUUGUCUUUCUUCCUCAGGGAGUUGCAUCAUUAGCGAACGCGGACAUUUAUAAAUGGAGAGCCGUCAAUUCUAAAGGACCUUUUUGCGCGUGCAAGUUUGCAUUUCUGCACCAACCCGGAUUCUGGCACACCGUAGGCACGCGAUACAUUUCAGUGAAGAAGAAAAACAAAAACAAAGGGAAGGUGCCGGGCCACAGUUUGCAAGACUUCCAUUUUGUCAUGGCUGUAAGAAAGAGGAGGAAGAGAUAACCAUGAGAACAGAACUGAUAUUAGGAAUUUGGCCCCAGGGAAGAAGUUUCCAGGGAAAGGCGUAGAGUCCACGUAGGUACAAUUUGACUUAAUGUUCUUUCUAUUUCAUCAUGGGUGGUUAUUCAGUACAGAAUGAGGGCACUGAAAAAGUCUGAAUUAUCCAAGAAAAAUGAUACUUUUUCGACUCGUGGUUUAGUUUAUUGGCAUCCAAACCUGCUUCCUAAAAGAUGACACAUUUACCACUUUCCGUGUUUAAAGAUUAGGAAGUAUUUCUGGGGCACCCGGCCGGCUCCGUUGGUGAGGUGUUUGUCUCUUGAUCUUGGGGUCAUGAGUUCAAGCCCCAUGUUGGGCAAAUUGGGUGUAGAGAUUACUUAAAAAUAAAAUCUAAAACUAAAUAAAUAAAUAAAAAUA
rnacentral:lncRNA from 1 species